rnacentral:lncRNA from 1 species
CACUAUUAUAUGAAGGGGUCGGAGUUCGAACCCCGGACACCCCACUUAUUCACCUUAUAAGGUGAAUUCUAACCACUAUGCUAUCUGACAAAAAAAAAUAUUUAUGUAAUUUUUCUAAGCAAUAUUUCAAUUAUAGAAGAGCAAUAGAGUACAAUAGGUGCUCAACUUCGAGAAACACUUAGGGUCUGUUUGUUUCUAGGGAGAGAAGAAGGAAAGAUUGUGAAGGGAGGGAAAAAGGAUGGAAGGAUUGAGUUUCCAUUGUUUGGAACAAAUAUAAAAAGGUAAUGGAAAGAAAGAUUUAGCUGGGACCCACCCCAAAAUCCUUUCCGCGCUCAAUU